rnacentral:rRNA from 1 species
UACGUAGGGUGCAAGCGUUAUCCGGAAUUAUUGGGCGUAAAGAGCUCGUAGGCGGUUUGUCGCGUCUGCUGUGAAAACUCGAGGCUCAACCUCGAGCUGUCGGCGGAAACCACUUGGCUAGAGUCCGGAAGAGGAGAGUGGAAUUCCUGGUGUAGCGGUGAAAUGCGCAGAUAUCAGGAGGAACACCGAUGGCGAAGGCAGCUCGCUGGGACGGUACUGACGCUGAGGCGCGAAAGCGUGGGGGAGCAAACAGG